AUUGAACGCUGGCGGCAGGCCUAACACAUGCAAGUCGAACGAGUGGCGGACGGGUGAGUAAUGUCUGGGAAACUGCCCGAUGGAGGGGGAUAACUACUGGAAACGGUAGCUAAUACCGCAUACCAUCGGAUGUGCCCAGAUGGGAUUAGCUAGUAGUGGGGGUAAUGGCUCACCUAGGCGAAGAUCCCUAGCUGGUCUGAGAGGAUGACCAGCCACACUGGAACGGGGACACGGUCCAGACUCCUACGGGAGGCAGAAGUGGGGAAUAUUGCACAUGGGGGGCAAGCCUGGUGCAGCCAUGCGGCGUAUAUGAAGAAGGCCUUCGGGUUUUAAAGUACUUUCAGCGAGGAGGCGUUACUCGCAGAAGAAGCACCGGCUAACUCCGUGCCAGAAGCCGCGGUAAUAC
rnacentral:rRNA from 1 species